CGUCGGUUCUCCCGCGACGAUAGUUUGCAAAUCCCGCCAGGGCCGGAAGGCAGCAACGGUAGUGAACGAUUCGGGUGCCGGGAUGUGGCUGGCGGGG
rnacentral:SRP_RNA from 1 species